rnacentral:rRNA from 1 species
UACGUAGGGAGCGAGCGUUGUCCGGAAUUACUGGGUGUAAAGGGAGUGUAGGCGGGAAUGCAAGUCAGAUGUGAAAACUAUGGGCUUAACCCAUAGACUGCAUUUGAAACUGUGUUUCUUGAGUAGUGCAGAGGUAGGCGGAAUUCCCGGUGUAGCGGUGGAAUGCGUAGAUAUCGGGAGGAACACCAGUGGCGAAGGCGGCUUACUAGCUCGAUACUGACGCUCAGUCACGAAAGCGUGGGUAGCAAAUAGG